UACGCUUGACAUGUACGGAAGUCUGCUGAGAGGUGGACGUGCCUGAAGGGAACCGUAACAC
rnacentral:rRNA from 1 species